rnacentral:rRNA from 1 species
CCCUUAGAUGUUCUGGGCCGCACGCGCGCUACACUGUUCGACGCAGCGAGUCUUAACCUUGACCGAAAGGUUUGGGUAAUCUUCAGCAAAGUCGAACGUGAUGGGGAUCGAUCAUUGCAAUUAUUGAUCGUGAACGAGGAAUUCCUAGUAAGUGCAAGUCAUCAGCUUGCGCUGAUUACGUCCCUGCCCUUUGUACACACCGCCCGUCGCUACUACCGAUUGAAUGGUUUAGUGAGAUCUCUGGAUUGACGCUGGCUAGGGGGCGACCCUUGGCCAGACUGUUGGGAAGCUGCUCAAACUUGAUCAUUUAGAGGAAGUAAAAGUCGUAACA